CAAAUUGAGCUCUCUCUCGAGAUCAUCAGGCUCUUGCCUGCGUUGCUCACGCAGUAAUAACCCUAUUUCCUUCUCCAAAUCAUCACCGAAUGAUCCGUCAUUAGUUCCUAUCAUCGGUCUCCUAUCCAAUUCAGAUAACAUAUUCAAAACCCCAAUUUGAUCAUCACCCACUACAACAACUCAAAAACUGAUAAAUACACAGUAGCAACAAUCACAACCUAAGCCCUAAAAGAUCCCAAAACGAAAACUUUCUACUUUUAAAACAGCUAAACCCCAUAUAUACAGGUCCAAGAAGAUAACUUUAAACUACAUAAGAUCGAAACUGCUACCAAAUCAAUAUUCUCAAUCCUAAACUACAAACGUCGA
rnacentral:misc_RNA from 1 species